rnacentral:rRNA from 1 species
AACGAACGCUGGCGGCAUGCCUAACACAUGCAAGUCGAACGAGACCUUCGGGUCUAGUGGCGCACGGGUGCGUAACGCGUGGGAACCUGCCCUUAGGUUCGGAAUAACUCCCCGAAAGGGGUGCUAAUACCGGAUAAUGUCUUCGGACCAAAGAUUUAUCGCCUUUGGAUGGGCCCGCGUUGGAUUAGCUAGUUGGUAGGGUAAAAGCCUACCAAGGCGACGAUCCAUAGCUGGUCUGAGAGGAUGAUCAGCCACACUGGGACUGCGACACGGCCCAGACUCGUACGGGAGGGAGCAGUGGGGAAUAUUGGACAAUGGGCGAAAGCCUGAUCCAGCAAUGCCGGGUGAGUGAUGAAGGCCUUAGGGUUGUAAAGCUCUUUUACCCGGGAUGAUAAUGACAGUACCGGGAGAAUAAGCUCCGGCUAACUCCGUG